rnacentral:rRNA from 1 species
AAGCUUGCUUCUCUUGAGAGCGGCGGACGGGUGAGUAAUACCUAGGAAUCUGCCUGAUAGUGGGGGAUAACGUUCGGAAACGGACGCUAAUACCGCAUACGUCCUACGGGAGAAAGCAGGGGACCUUCGGGCCUUGCGCUAUCAGAUGAGCCUAGGUCGGAUUAGCUAGUUGGUGAGGUAAUGGCUCACCAAGGCUACGAUCCGUAACUGGUCUGAGAGGAUGAUCAGUCACACUGGAACUGAGACACGGUCCAGACUCCUACGGGAGGCAGCAGUGGGGAAUAUUGGACAAUGGGCGAAAGCCUGAUCCAGCCAUGCCGCGUGUGUGAAGAAGGUCUUCGGAUUGUAAAGCACUUUAAGUUGGGAGGAAGGGCAGUUACCUAAUACGUGAUUGUCUUGACGUUACCGACAGAAUAAGCACCGGCUAACUCUGUGCCAGCAGCCGCGGUAAUACAGAGGGUGCAAGCGUUAAUCGGAAUUACUGGGCGUAAAGCGCGCGUAGGUGGUUUGUUAAGUUGAAUGUGAAAUCCCCGGGCUCAACCUGGGAACUGCAUCCAAAACUGGCAAGCUAGAGUAUGGUAGAGGGUAGUGGAAUUUCCUGUGUAGCGGUGAA